UUCUGGCUCAGGAUGAACGCUGGCGGCGUGCCUAAUACAUGCAAGUCGAACGAGGGUAGUAAUACCCUAGUGGCGAACGGGUGAGUAACACGUAGGUAACCUGCCUUUUAGCUUGGGAUACCCGAAGGAAACUUUGGCUAAUACCGGAUAAUAACAACCGAGGCAUCUCGGAUGUUUGAAAGGAGCUCUAAAGCUUCACUAAAAGAUGGACCUGCGGCGCAUUAGCUAGUUGGUGAGAUAACAGCCCACCAAGGCGAGGAUGCGUAGCCGAACUGAGAGGUUGAACGGCCACAUUGGAACUGAGACACGGUCCAAACUCCUACGGGAGGCAGCAGUAAGGAAUAUUGGUCAAUGGGCGGAAGCCUGAACCAGCCCAUGCCGCGUGCAGGAUGACGGCCCUACGGGUUGUAAACUGCUUUUCCCCGGGAAGAAUAAGCCCCUCGUGAGGGGUGAUGCCGGUACCGGGGGAAUAAGGAUCGGCUAACUCCGUGCCAGCAGCGGC
rnacentral:rRNA from 1 species